CUGAUCGGCCACAUUGGGACUGAGACACGGCCCAAACUCCUACGGGAGGCAGCACACGAGGAUACGNANGNNANCUGAUGAGCAGCGCUGAUGAGAGGUCUCGGAUCGUAAGCUCUGUUGUUGGUGAAGAAGGAUAGAGGCAGUAACUGGUCUUUAUUUGACGGUAAUCAACCAGAAAGUCACGGCUAACUACGUGCCAGCAGCCGCGGUAAUACGUAGGUGGCAAGCGUUGUCCGGAUUUAUUGGGCGUAAAGCGAGCGCAGGCGGAAUGAUAAGUCUGAUGUGAAAGCCCAGGCUCAACCGUGGAACUGCAUCGGAAACUGUCAUUCUUGAUGCAGAAGAGGAGAGUGGAACUCCAUGUGUAGCGGUGGAAUGCGUAGAUAUAUGGAAGAACACCAGGUGGCGAAGGCGGCUCUCUGGUCUGCAACUGACGCUGAGGCUCGAAAGCAUGGGGUAGCGAACAGGAUUACG
rnacentral:rRNA from 1 species